UGAGAUUACUGGUCUUUGACAAUUACCAACGUGUCCAGUGCCUUUGAAAUGCUUUUUUUUGUAAUGAACCGAAUCUUCAUUUAUUUCACAGUAAUUUGGUGACAUGGAGCGUUAAGGACCAGUUACUGAGAUGAUGCCAUUCACCCAAGGAGUUGGUGCCUUUGAUGAGACUAUGAUGUGUGGGAUGUAGGCAUUCUGCUGUGAUCCUUGAAGGAGUUUGAUACAAGAUGCAUAAAGGAGCUGGGAUGAUUUCAUUUUUCUAAGGAGGUGGUGCGCUCUGGGACCCUGAUGUUGAUGAGUCUUCAUUCUUGUGGCACAUGAUAAAUGUACUUUGAUCUAUAAAGAGACUCCUAGUUACAAGAUCAUCUCCCACAAGAUGAACAGAAGGCCGUCUUGAUCUUCUCAGUUGCUUACCGCUGCUCGAGGACAAACCUGGACCCAAUUUCAUAGGGUCUUUUCUGCCAUCUGCCAUUCGGAAUGCAGAUGCAAAAAGUAAAACAAAAUAAACAAAUGUUUCAACAAAUGUUCAAAUUUGUCCGAUCAAAAAAUGCAUUUCUGGUAUUUUAUUUCCUUUUGGAAACUGCAUAAGAAAGGCAGAAAAGACCCCCGGGGAAACAGAGAAAUGUUACCCUCGACUGAGCAUUUUGGUUUACAAAUCAUUGAUCUACACAAAUUGGCCUUGUAGUUGUGUGGUUAUUCUUUGUGAGCUAACAUGGUUCGCCAAUUUGUAGAACAAUUUUUUUUUUGACUCAACAAAAUUGUGCACCGCCGCGUGUUAGCUCAUAAAGCAAAAGGGAAACCACACAGACAUACUUCUUUGAACAUAUUUCCAACCAUUUUUGUCUCAUAAAAAAAUGUUUCAAGCACUUUUUACCGGCAAAAGCGCCCGAUCCAAGGCAACGUGUCCCUUUAAGUGCAGUUAAAGGCAGUGGACAUGUUUAGUAAACACUCAAAAUA